rnacentral:rRNA from 1 species
UACGUAGGUGGCAAGCGUUAUCCGGAUUUAUUGGGCGUAAAGGGAACGCAGGCGGUCUCUUAAGUCUGAUGUGAAAGCCUUCGGCUUAACCGGAGUAGUGCAUUGGAAACUGGGAGACUUGAGUGCAGAAGAGGAGAGUGGAACUCCAUGUGUAGCGGUGAAAUGCGUAGAUAUAUGGAAGAACGCCAGUGGCGAAAGCGGCUCUCUGGUCUGUAACUGACGCUGAGGUUCGAAAGCGUGGGUAGCAAACAGG